rnacentral:lncRNA from 1 species
GGAUCAAAUUAUCAUCAUUUGAAUUUAGUUGGGAAAAGGAGAAAGAGAACCUGGAGAAGGUGCAAUGCUCUUUAAAGCCCUGGCCCAGUAGAGUUACAGAGAAGAAUGAGACAAUGAGGCCAUAUGAGGCCAUAUUCCAGCUGUCGACGAAGCAGCCCAAAGAGGAAAACAGACAUGGCAUCAAUGCCUAACCUUAAUACCUGGGAGUGGAAACACUGACCUAGAAAUAUUCACAGAGAGCUGUAAGCCAUGGUAAUUCUUCCCUGUCUGACAAACUUCAACCUGAA